UAACAUACUAUAUACUAAUAUAAUAAAAUUGGAACAGGACAGAUAAGAUUAACUUUGCCCCUGUGCAAGGAUGACACACAAAUUCAUGAAACAUCCCAUAUUUUG
ensembl:snRNA U6 U6 spliceosomal RNA